rnacentral:lncRNA from 1 species
UGCAUCUCUUCCUUUAAGGCUCUGAUAUUGGUUGCCUUUGUGUCAAGUGAGAUUUUUCCUGACUGGAGAAUCACAUUCCAGAUCUCAAUGCAUUGCAGUACCAGCAACUAUGCCAACUGACAUGUCAUUCAACACAAUGCUGCUCACCUCCUUCUACAGUUAGGAGUAGGGCUGGUUCAGGGGUAUGGGGAUGGCUACACAGGGCUGCUGAGCCUGACACUGCAUCUGUUGGGCCUGGCACCAGGCAGGGGCAGCAACAACUAAUUUAGUAUGAAUAGCUUGCUAAAAGUUUGCCUGCAUUUAUUAAAUGUUGGCUAAAAGAGGAGCGAAAUGUACACUCAGAAUGUUCUGUGAAGAUAUUAAGUAACUAAUGUUAGGAGAGCAAAAGUUGCCUAUUUCACUAUGGAUUAAGCUAACAGGUUAAUUUCCACCACUCAAGGACUACACCCACCUUCCUUUGUGAAAAAUUGGGUGACAUACAGUCGCCCUUUCUUUUCUCUCUCCUGUCCUUCUUUUCUUUCUUUUAGUUUUUGGAAGCCAGAUUUUUCUUUAGGAAGCUGCGACAUGAUGCUCCGGCACUUCUCACUCGCAAUUCACUGCUAGGGGGGGUUGGGCAAUACAGAGGCUCUCUGCAUGUUUACUUUUUGUCCUAAACAGGAAAAGAUAAAGAACCGUUAGAUGUAUUAGUACAUUGUAAAUCAAUUAUUAUAAUAAUGAUGAUAGGUUAAUGAUUUAAUAUUGAAAAAAAUGUACCUAAUGUUCUAAUAAUUUCUUAUUAGGCCGUUAGAAUCGUCCUAACUUUUCCCCCCCAUAUGGCGCCCCUGCCAACAAUAUACAUAAGUAGAUCCGAUACUGGUUGAUCCUGCGACACGGCUACAGUACACACUUUUAAAUACACCAAAACAAACUGGGUAUCAACGAGCUUUCAAGCUGAGGUUUGAACAAUUACUCUCUCGCGACACUGUCACAACCCACUUCUGCGCAGCUGAUGCUGGCUAUUUAAUAGGGAAUUAAAGGGGAAGCGCCCCAUCGGCAGGAGAAACACUGAGACGGUUCAGACAAAUUCAAUGCUGUCACAACGCGUCGGUUUUGUUGCGAAACAACCAACCUGCCUAAAACAAAAGAUAAUUUAGCUUACCAGUCUCAACGUCACUGUUGACGUUGAGACUGGUGUUUUGCAGGUACUAUUUAAUGAAGCUGCAGUUGAGUACUUGUGAGGUGUUUGCGCAACGCAUAGGGUGUUUGCGUUUCACCCCAACGACCAGGGUUCCCGUUCCUGUCUCUCCGUUCACUACAGUAUUGAUGUGUAACCAUCCCUGGAAAACAAAAUGCUCAAUACGGAAAGGAUCAAUGUUAAGUCAGUUCACAUAAUGGACUAAAUGAACGGAUGGGAUUCAUCUUCCGCUUCUCCCAAGGCCUAUGACUCAAAUUGACAUGAAGCAGGAUGGAUUGGCUGGUAGUUCACAAAUAAAGAAGCUCAGAAAGGUGUGUAUGUGUACAAAGGCUUUGAGAAGAUUGAAGAAAUGGAACGCCUUCAAAUUUGGCGGACAUCACAGAAAUCGAUUAAAUUCGAUUGAUUUCUGCGACAUUUUUGGUUAUCGUUGAGUCCAAAUUCAGCCAUAAAAGAAAGUACAACUGGGUCUUUGGGAUGUUGGAGGUCAACAGAGGUAAUAGAUGACCCGAUUUGAAAAUGGUACCUUCAAGCUCACGCAGAGUACUGAUCCCGAUCAUUAGAAAACAACAUCAAAAGAGGAUCAACCAUCUACAGUGACUCGUGGAGAGCAUAUGUGCAGGCGCUGAAUCCACUAGGUUAUCAGCAUCACACUGUGAACCACAGGCAGAACUUUGUUGAUCCACAUUCGAGCAGCCACACACAGCACAUUGAACGCUCUUUGCAGAUGAUCAAAAAACAGGUCUGGAGACUAAAAGGGAAUCAAUCAGAGAAAAUGUUGAAGAACCAUUUGAAAUGUAUUGAAUGGACUUACUGGUUGGGCAAAAAACACAGGGGAGGCAUCUUCGGACAACUGAUCAACAACAUUAAGAAGAGAUAUAAAGUGUGACUGAAUUUUUUGGAGGGAGAAAAGCACAUAUUGGGCCCAUCUUCAAAUACCGUUGGAGGUGUGGAGAAGUAGAUCUGGAGAUAAUUUCACUUUUGUUCUGUUAUUGAUCUGUCAUUGUAUUUUGUGAUCACAGUAUUUUCAUUUGCCAUAGAAAAUAAAAAAAGCUUAAAAAAAUUAGAUUUAAAAAAAAAUAUUGUUAACUUUACAAAUUACAACAUUAAGAAAGAGAAACUUCUGGAGUAUCGCAAAAUAUGGUUUGGGUCCCUCAGUCCAGAGCUAUUAAAUUAAAAUAAAAGAAGAAGGCAAGGGGAAAGCUUUGGUCUAUAACACCAAAGAUUUGGUAGAUUAACCAUGUUCUGUUAAUUAGGCCAACAUGGUGUUUUGAAAUUUUCCAGUUUGAAUGUUUUUUGCAUCUCCUACAUCAUGAAGCCUAAUAUAUUGAAAAACUCUCUGAAAAAUCUGUUUUAAUUCUUAAAGAAGUGUUUUUCUUUUUCAGUUUAUACUUUUAUGGCAGUUUGCUGUGAGACUUGUGCCUUAGUAGAUCAUUGAAAAAUAUUUGCUUCCGUCGUUUUAUUUUUUUGUGAAAUGCUACCUCAGAUAACCAUUCUUAAAGAAGAAUGUCUGCACCACAUGUUUCGUUGUUCUUUUUCAGUUGAUACAUUUAUGGCAGUUUGCAGACACUUGUGCCUUCGUAGAUUAGUAAAAAAAAUAUUUUUACAAAAAUGUUAAAUUGUGAAAUGAUACCUCGGAUAACAAUGUUUAAGUAAACUAUUCAAAUGUUUUUACAUUACAAAUGUCCUCUCAGGAAAACUAUGGCAAUGUUAUCAUGUAAUAAAGCUGUUCCUAAGAGAUUAUCUUCCUCUUGCUGACUUUUUUAUGGUUGUUGCUAUAUCUGUCUUUUACAAUAGCGUACAGAAAUUAAGUGAAACUUCCAGAAGCUUUAAAAUGAGGGCCAGGAUGUCAGGAUGGGUAAUGUACAGUAUAAAUACACACUAAUUACAAGUAAGUAUUCGUCAAGAUAUACUUAAUUUUAACUAGCUAAAUCCUGUGUAACACCUAGUAAUUACAUUGUACUUACGCAGAUAUUACAUGUACUCUGUGGUGUACAAAUUUGUUUAGUCUCCCACUUAUAUAGUGCUUCUAGAAGCUUUAAUUCUGAGUUCCAGGUUGUUAGGAUGGGUAAUGUACUGUAUAAAUACACAUUAAUUACAGGUAACUACCCCUCAUGAGACACUUCAUUUUAACAAGCUAAAUCCAGUGUAACAGCUAGUGAUUACAUUGUACUUAGGCAAAUAUUACAUGUACUACGCUUUGAAAUAAUGUAUUUUUCCACAUCUGGGUUGACACCUAUAUUAGAUCCCAGUCAGUGAGGCUGACCUACUGAUCUGUUUUUACCAGCUUAACCAAGUUACCCCUGAUGGUAUACUUUAUUUUGAGGGCAAGUGCUAGCAACAACACUGAGUGCACAUUCAAGGGUAAGUAAUUAGAGCCUAUUGAGUAUAGGCUAUAAUCUCUAAGACACCCAUCACAUCCAUGAGGGAUCACAACCUUUGUGACAUUUGUUACUGUAUGCAGCUGAGAAGAAGCGAAACACUAAGUUAGUGAAUUUAGUGGAAACCUGCCCAUGUGUAACAACCAUGGUAACAAUAAUAAUUUGUUACACUGCUGUAAUUACAGUGCCUUCGGAAAGUAUUCAGACCCCUUGACUUUUUCCACAUUUUGUUAUGUUACAGCCUCAUUCUAAAAUUGAUGAAAUAAAAAAUGUCCCUCGUCAAUCUACACACAAUACUCCAUAAUGGCAAUGUGAAAACAGCUUGUUAGAAUUUUUUUAAAUGUAUUACAAACAAAAAUACCUUAUUUACAUAAGUACUCAGACCCUGUGCUAUGAGAAUCGAAUUUGAGCUCCGGUGCAUUCUGUUUCCAUUGAUCAUCCUUGAGAUGUUGCUACAACUUCAUUGGAAUCUAGCUGUGGUUAAUUCAAUUCAUUGGACAUGAUUUUGAAAGGCACACACCUGUUUAUAUAAGGUCCCACAGUUCACAGUGCAUGUAAAAGCAAAAACCAAGCAGUGAGGUCGAAGGAAUUGUCCACAGAGCUCCGAGACAGAAUUGUGUCGAGGCACAGAUCUGGGGAAGGGUACCAAAAAAUGUCUGCAGCAUUGAAGGUCAACCAAGAACACAGUGGCCUCCAUUUUAAAUGGAAGAUGUUUGGAACCACCAAGACUCUUCCUGGAGCUGGCCAUACUGAGCAAUCAGGGGAGAAGGGCAUUGGUGAGGGAGGUGACCAAGAACUAGAGGUCGACCGAUUAAUCGGAAUGGCCGAUUAAUUAGGGCCGAUUUCAAGUUUUCAUAACAAUCGGAAAUCGGUAUUUUUGGAGGCCGAUUUGGCCGAUUUAUUUUUU